rnacentral:antisense_RNA from 1 species
CACGUGCCUCGGCCGUGAGGAGGAGGAGGGAUGCAAGCUUCGCUCCUCUACCCUGGUGCCCAGCAGGCGUACACCACCACAUGCCUACUAGCAAGCCACGGGGAGGAGGACCUAGUGCCGAACCCACAGCCCUGGCCUCCGUGGACAUGCCUCCCCCCCACCCCAGCAGGUAACAGAUGACCCCUAGAGAGCGCCCCCACUGUCUAUCCCGAGGUCCAAGCUUGCAGAGGCCACUCUGAAGUUGGCUGUCCAUCGGCCUCUUAACUGGGCUGUUUUUCGUCCAACUUCUCUACUGCACCCCUCCACCACCAUAUUAACUGGAACAUUUGGGGUUGAAGUGACAGAACUCCCAAACAAAUAGGUUUGAGCUCUACCCCGUCUCUACCAAAAAAAACAAAACAAAAAAAACAAAACAAACAAAAAAAA